GUCAAAGCGUUCAUUAAAGUCGAGUUGGCUUAGGGAUACGUUCGUUGGGUAGGGGAGCGUUCUGUAAGCCUGUGAAGGUGUGUCGUGAGGCAUGCUGGAGGUAUCAGAAGUGCGAAUGCUGACAUAAGUAACGAUAAAGCGGGUGAAAAGCCCGCUCGCCGGAAGACCAAGGGUUCCUGUCCAACGUUAAUCGGGGCAGGGUGAGUCGACCCCUAAGGCGAGGCCGAAAGGCGUAGUCGAUGGGAAACGGGUUAAUAUUCCCGUACUUGGUGUUACUGCGAAGGGGGGACGGAGAAGGCUAUGUUGGCCGGGCGACGGUUGUCCCGGUUUAAGCGUGUAGGUGUGUGUUCCAGGUAAAUCCGGUUCACUUUAACACUGAGGCGUGACGACGAGGCACUACGGUGCUGAAGCAACAAAUGCCCUGCUUCCAGGAAAAGCCUCUAAGCAUCAGGUAACACGAAAUCGUACCCCAAACCGACACAGGUGGUCAGGUAGAGAAUACCAAGGCGCUUGAGAGAACUCGGGUGAAGGAACUAGGCA
rnacentral:rRNA from 1 species